CCAGCCUGCACUCAGUCGUUUUCCCUUUAGCUUCUGCAUGUCAUACAUAUAAAAGUAUCUUUACUAUUGAAGAAAAUAUGAUCACCCCACUGAAGUGAACAAUGUGAAUUUUAUAUUUUCAGCCUUUCAUUUUAUUAUCUAUGGAGAAACCCAAGCUCCAGUGUUUGCAUUAGGCUGAUUAUCCUUCCGGGGAUAUAAAAAAUACCAUCAAUUUUUGUUUUACCCUCAUUUCCCCACCACUUCUAUGCAGGCAGUCUAUAGACACUGUUACAUGACUUCUUCCUCCUGCUGAAGACAAAAGUGAGGAUUUUUUUGCAGCCACAAACUGUUCUAAUUGCCACUGUUUGUCCCAUGUCUUCCCUCAACCUACACUUACCCCUCUGGUUUCACGUGACGAUUUGUUGCUAACGAGCAUAUUUUCCAUUAGUGGAGAAGAAGGGGGUGGAGUACCAAACAACCUCCAGUGGCUGUAUUCAAAGUGUAAUGCUUCUUAUCACAAAUAAUUUAAAAAAUGCAAGAACCCCAAUUUGCAGCUAGGAGGCCCACUUGAGGGAUCAGUUAAAAUUUACUCCUUUAUACGCAUGCCAACUCUGACUUCAAAAAGACUGUAUUCCCAAGAAUAAACAACCCAAUAUUUGUGUAAUAUAAUUAAGUGAAGGCAUCUUUAAAUGUCAUACCAGCUUGUGCCAUGCUUUAAAUUGUUAUGCAUCAACAGAAUUUAACGAGAUGGCCAAGGAUCCUGCUUCCUGCUUGAAUGCGAUAAGCCACAAAUACUGUAUAGCUCUUUAAUAGAUUGCCAAAAUAAAGCAUUUUGUAUGCAAAUUAUUCAUGGAGUGGCAAAGCUAAUAUAGUGCCAAAAUUACGCCCACUGGUCCUCUGCAAUUAGUAGUUAAGUUGAAGUAUCUUCAAACUGCAGAAUUUCUUUCAGUGUCUCCCAAUACUUGAAACAUCUUUUCAUUUGUGAAAAUAGGAAAUAGCAGCUUUUAUUUUCCUUUUAAGGUUCAGGGUAUGCACACACUACAGCAGAGAUGUGGUGAGUGGGAUCUAAUCAGAAUAAUUGCACAUAGGCUACCCAGGAAAUAAAUAUAAAAGUCCAAUGACUUGCAAGAAAGUUGAAGGAGAAAGGAAAAAAAAAAGUAUUUCUCCUUCCCCAAAUGAAGUGUGUGAAUCCUGUGAAGUUGGGCUGAAAAAAGCUAACUGAAAAACACAGCACAACUGAAGAGGAAAUAAAAGCAUUUGGCUGAUGGCUUAGAAGGGCUGGUGGUGCUCCCUGUGUACAGCACCUUCUCACCCUCCCCAGAAAUCCCCCUGUCCAAGGAACACCCACAUCCUCCUAACAACUCCAGGAGUAAAACUUCCUUAGGCUGCACCAGGCAGAGGAGCUGCCACUGUGAAAGGCCAACACCUGUAAAUUGUUUAACUAGAGCUUUGCUGUCAAGAGAUCACCUGAAAUGUUCCUUUCCAACAGAGUUAGAGAUAAGCCGUCCAUUACCAGGAGUCUCUAGUUUCAAGUUAAGCACACAAAUAACCAAUGGACAUGCCCCCGGGGAAACACUUGCAAAAUUCUCAACUUUUUAAAAGUAAUUAUGUUCUCCCCUGAAUACCAGAAACAGGAUCCAUUGCAAGAAAGGGAAAGGGAGAAAGACGGAGAGAAAAAGCGUUUCCCAGACUUCAGAUUUCCAGUGGGAAACCGAUUUCCCUUUUCUUCAGCCCUGUAAGAUCGUCUCCCAGUGAACCUACAGCCAGUGAGGGAGCUGUGCAAAGGGGAAAAAGAAGUUGCUCCUUGAUGGAAGUUUUUGGAGAAACUUUAAACAGCUGAAUUAGGCGACUGCGAAGUGUUCAAGUAACUUUACCCUCUUUGGUGUGUCUUACCGUGGCGUGGAGAUGAAGCAUGGUGAAGGAGUGGAGAGGCAGAUAUGUCCUGUAGAUCAUGUCCCCAUUCUGCAGAGUUAACACGAACCAUAUUUUUCAUUUACAACCUAAUCACCAGAAGAGUAUAGUACAUGUCAGGGGCCUGAGACAGUGAUUUAAGGAGUCUGUGUCAAACUGCUUGGACCUAGAUGGCCUUUCUAAGCUAACCUGGAGGAUUUACUGCCAGCUAAACAACAAAUGUAAUUUUGGUCACGAACUGUGUUAUGAAAUGUUGUGGAAAACCAUAAACAACGGUGUUCAGUCCAGUAAACUCCAAAAGUUGUCAUCUACAGCUUUCUCUUAACCUGAGGGGCAGCGGGGGGACCCAACCCCAACAAACCCUUGACUCUUCCAUUCUUUGAUAUCAAGGGAAGAAACGGAUAGCAAGCCUUACAGCAGGAAACAGCAGUCCCUUGGAAAGAUGAAGAAAAGCAGCUACCACUAUUAAUAACAUAGAUCUUGCAUUUUGUCCUUUUUUCAUAGUGUUGAUGAUUUAAAUCUGUCUUUUCUUAUAGUGGUUCAAAAGUCUACCCCACACAGGUGAGGGUUACAAGAGUGACUCUGCCGGGCAAGAUCCAGUGGAAGGUGUGGGGAGCUGAUGGCAGUUCUGGCACCGUGGGGAGGACUUACCACAUGCUAUUGGUCCAGGUCCUCCACUGACAACUUGUCAUCGGUUUUGUUAGAAAUAAAUAAAAUAUGGCAACCAAUGAAAAUCAAUCUUCUGAUGCUCGGCUGCCUUAAAUACCAGUAGAGCAAACAAACAGCCCUAAACAAUACAGCAGAACCCAUAUAUCAAUUACCCUAAAUGCUCAAGCAUUUUUACUUCACAGCCUGCAACAUCUGACUGUGGUACCCGCAGUCGCUGCGCGGAGAUGAUAAUGGUGCUGCAUUGUUCCUGGGCGCCUGGCGGCCAGAUAAGGGCUGCCUGUGCUUAGAUGAUAAUGAAAGUGGGCAGACUUAACAUUGUGAUUGGAAAAUUUCUUGGGUCUCAGAAAAAGGUUCUAUUAAGCCCACUGACCCCAAUUGAAUAUUAAUUAGCUAAUUAACAGAUUUAUUGUUCCACGCCAUUUCUGGAGAGGCAAUUUUUUUUCAAGUGCUAUUAUUUUUUUUAAAUUAUUUUUUGCAUUGUGUAUAAUUAAAUCUUUGCAGCUGCCAGCAUCUUCUGCAUGAUUUGGCAAAAAAAAGAAAGAAAAAGCACUUAUAGCUUUCUCUUUUUUUCGCAGGCCCAAAUGUUUCCAAUCGCUCUAAGUGAGUGUUUGGGGGUGGGGGAGGAAAGGAGUGGGAAGGAAGCAGCCGAUUUAUGUUGCAUUUUACAGAUAUAUUUAUUCUUAAAAGCUGAACUUAAAAAUGUCCACACUUUUUUUUUUUUUUUAUUUUCCUAUUGUGAUUCACUGGUCUAUCUUUUAGCCUGAGGUGACUACACAGUGCACUAUUAUUUCCUGAGAAGACACUGAGGUCUGGCCCUGCCUCUCUUUGUACCUCUUUUUAAGCAUUGUGCAUCUUACCUGUUUGCUCCUGCUCUUUUCUGCCACACAACCACUCUCUGUCCAGCUGGGAGGGCAGGAGACUUGGAUGAGCCAGUAUCUGCCCUUCCUCCAGGAGGGUUCCUUACCUGGAACAACAUGGUUCACUUGUUUUUUUCCAAAAUGCUUUUGUGAAUACUGAAUUAUUGGUAAAGAGAGGCAAGAUGAUACUUGCCCAGGUGGAUGAUUUCUGACCAUUUCUAAUAAAUUUAUUUGGCUCAGAGCACUCCAAGAGCUUCACACUUAAGUGAGCAAGGGCCUGCCACUGUCUGCUGCAUGAUGCUGUUACUGGGGCAAGGGGUUCAUUGCAGAUUCCUUACAAAUAAUUUACUGCAUCAAAUAUUUUCCAAAAGAAGCAGACUGUCUCUUAAAUAAACUGUGGUAUUUUUGUGAGUGCUGUCCAAAGACUCUAACUAAGCACUCUUUAAAAUUCCAGAAUUAUCAUGGUAUUCUUACGUUACAAGCUAUAGUGCAAAAUGUCAACAGUGAAUAUCAUUAUCCCAUUAAAAGGAGAAAAGACAAAAGAAUCUUGCAUCAGAAAACCAAAACCAUGAAAUUUAUAUGGUUCAAGAUAGCGUGCAGAUCUCCUAAGUUCAUACACCUGGGUUUAGGACUGCUUCUUGUGUCCAAAUCCAGGAUUUGUGGAAUCUACUGUAGCAAGUGUGGAGAAAGCUGAGACCUGGUUCUGCUAGCAGUGGCAUAUAUCUUUUUUCUCUGACCAUUGUGUACACACUGAGACAGCUAUAUGUUAAAAGUAUGGUUCAAAAUUAUAAAAAGAGACCUCCUGCAGGGGCCUGUGAAAAACUCUUCAAUACCUGCAGAAGUGAAAUCGCCUUUGUCUCAUCCCCCAUAGACAGAAGAGACUACAAGAGAGACAAGCUUGCACCUGCCACAGCUACAGCCAUGUUUGGAAACCUGUGAAGCAGGUCUUCAUUGACUCAAGAGAUGUUGUGGAUACACAGAAAUGCUGUGCUGCCAAAUUAAAUGAGUGGAAAUACAUCCAUCCAGUAUCUCUUUCAACUGUUACAGCUACAGCCUACCCUAAAAUGCGCUGGUCAUGGAGAUAGUGCUUAAAACACAUGUUAAUUUCCUCAAGAAUAUUAGCUAAAUACUACUGUGGCUCCAACAGAGAACUGAUAAAUACACCAAGGAAUGUGAUUUCUAUUUAAGUCUAAAAACACAAGGAAUGUGGAAGGAGAAACACAAAGCUUGUACCAGGAUUAUAGAGAUAUGUGAAUUGUGUCAGUAAACAGCCUGGACUAGUCUCAUCAAAAGAAAAAAAGGAAAGCAUUUUCCAUUGCUUAAAACUGGAAAACAAAAUGUUUGAUUGAGGUCAUCUUGACAUCCAUUAGUGUGAUAAAUGAAGUGGAAUUCAAGGCUACUCCAUUAUCAAGGUUCAUUUUCGUUGUUCAGAUCUGGUUCCCCCCCCUCCUUUCUUUUUUUUUUUUCUUUUUUUUAACCAACAUGGCCUCAGACUCAAGGCUGAUUACAAUAAUUACACUUUCUACCCAUAAUAGUACAAAUGAUUCAAAGAGUUAUUCAGAAUGUUUCAAUGUCAGCACUUAGAUAAAUGCUCCUUCUUUCCUAGGGAUUGCAUUUUUUAUGCAGAAGGUUAGUUAGCAGCAGCAAUAACAGUAUAGCUGUCAGAAAGCCCUGAAUUUACGUGCCCAGUAACUACAUUCACAAUUGUUUGAUACUCAGCGUGGCAACGAGACUGAAUGGGAUACCAGAUAAUUUAUAACUGCUCCCCAAUACAAGAAGAACAAUUAUAUUGUGUGCAGUAUAAAAUGGCCAUUAUUUAGCCCAAUUUUUAAAAAUUAUUUGAACAAAAUGCCCAUCUUUUGCAGGGCUAUUUUCUUCUCGGGUCUAAUUAGAUACCCGAGGAAUACAGGAUAUAUAAAUUUUAGCCACCAAAUAUAUUUAUGGAAUUUUAAUUCACUUCUUGUAUACAUCUGCCAUAAACCUUGUAAGCCUUCUUUGGGAGGUUUUUAAUCUUAAAAUGGAAAAAAAAAAAAAGAAGAAGAAGUAAAAAAAAAAAAAAGUGAAAGAAAGCAAUAGUCUUACAACGGUAGCUGGCGUUUUUCUGAUGAGCAGAAAGACCCAGGCUGUAGGUCUCUCCUCCUGUACCAUAAAAGCACUGCUGCAUGUUUUAUGAGAACAAAUUUGUUUCUGCAGACUUGACAAACUGCAUCUCCUCAUAGGGAAGAGUGAGGCUGGCAUAGGGCAGAGCUUCAGUGGGGGUCUGAGUGGACCAGGGUCCAUGGGACCCUCCAGCUCUUGAGCUGAAUCCUCCAACCCCUGCCUCGAGCCUCCCCUUGGCUUUCAUAAUGAGCAGAUCAAAUCACUGUGGAGGAAACCUUUUAAUCAAAAUCCUCCAUGUAGCAAUUUUAGCAUCACACGGUAAACAAAAUGAACCCUAAAACAGUUAAUGACUUUACUCCCGCCUUCGGGGGUGGUGGAGGCAGCAAAGCUUCAUGGCACACACCACACCUGGCGGUGGCUGUGAAAGCAAAACUUUGAACUUCUAGUUUGUAAUGCAAAAUUGAUUUCCAUUUACAAAGGGGGCACUUUUCCUCCUUUUCUUCUAAACUAUUUAAGGAUCAGCAAAGCAUAUAACUAGGCAUAAAUUGGAGAUGCAGGUUUCACCAGUUUCUGCCUGAUUUGCACCUAAACUAAAAUUCAGGUAGAGAAGGGACAGACAGAUGUCAAAAAAUCUCAGACUUGCUAGUAGCUGAACCCAGUUUAAGACAUUGCUGAAAGUUAAAUUUUGCCCAUUUCAAAAGGAAAUUAACCAUGCUAUUACCAAGAUGGGCUUUCAAUCAAAGUCUAAAAUUAGGCUUUCUUCUCUUGAAUGAGACCUUAAAAUAUCUAACAUGUAUUAAUCUAAUCCAGAGUCUAAGAGUUGUAUCUCCUAUCACCAUGUAGCCAAGCUGCAAAACAUUGCCUUAACCCCUGCCUUGGGAAGGUCUUCCAUGGGAUUGUACCUGCAAUCAUCUAAUUAAAGCAAGUCCAUUCACAUCUCUUCUAAUGGAAAAAGAAAUUAUCUAGGGGAGACUGGGGAGGCUGCAGGUAGGGGAAUAGGGGCUGCAGCAGUGUCCUGUCAGCAUUGCAGAAGGGCUGUGCUGCAGCAGCUCCCACCUGCCCUUUCUUUCAGAGUCCAAGGGUAUGGAUGCAGGAGAGAGCAGGGAUGAGCGGCUGCGCAGAGUGCAAUUAAUUUAUAUCUCCAUUUAAAUAAAACCCUCUCAUAGUCAUAGCUUGGGAGGAGACAGAGCCACUUGGCAAACAAAAUUGUAUUAAGUGCACUCCACUAGAAAUGUUUAUACUUUGUCCCUGAGAAAUGUUUAUGCUGGAGUACAGUAUUUAUCAAUUUGAAAAUGAAUGACGAGGAGUACAGAGCUUUUCUUACUUCAGAAACAUUGGUUAAGUGGUUUCAUUUGCGACAGCUCCGAAGUCAGUGUAAGUUCUCUUCGUCUGGAAGACUCUGCGGUUACCCAAGCAAUGCUGAGCAUGUUGGUGGGGACCCUCCAGCAAACGUGUACAACGAAAAUGAAUGAAGGUUUGGGCAAAUUUCUUCAUUUCUGAUUAAAUUCCUUUCUUCUCAC